CAACUACUCCCUCUGUCCCAAAUUUCUUGUCUUAGAUUUGUCUAGAUACGGAUGUAAUGUGACUUGAUACAUCCGUAUCUAGACAAAUCUAACACAAGAAUUUUGGGACGGAGGGAGUACUUU
rfam:Triticum aestivum genome assembly, contig: Triticum_aestivum_CS42_TGACv1_scaffold_591831_7BS